rnacentral:misc_RNA from 1 species
UCUUCUUUAUAAGGGAGAUUGAUUUUACUUGCGUUGUAGAAUGGAUAGGAAUACGCGUGGCAUGCAUUCACUUGUGCUGUUGUGCAUCAGGUAACAAGUAGUUGUCAACUUUUAACUUCUUUUUCGGCAUAGGGGAGGGGGUGUCCCCUUGUUGAGGAAAAUUUGUUCGUUUGAGAAUGGGGAGCUAUACCUCCUCUUAGUGGUAGCUUCUGAAUGGAUGUUUAAUGAAAUGAUACUAACAGAUGGUGGUGUUGCUGUUAUUAGAAAGUACCCUAUUGUCGUCUUCUACUUGGUUCACUUUUCCAUGACUGUGAGACCCCCCUCCAUCCCUAUUAAAAACACAUGGAAAUUGAAAAUUUCCUUAAUUUUCCUCCUUAAUGAACUAGCGCAGCUCGAGGUUCUGCGCUGUUGGAUGAAGUUUAAUCCUGGUUGGCGGCAAAUUAAGGAUUAGGUUGCAGUAUUGAUGAGCGUGGUAAAAUUAGGUGAGAACGAAGAAGCGAGAAGCUGUGGUCCGUUGGCUCAGCAGUUUUAUUACUCCAUAAUUAGCCAUUAUGGAUUUGAGACAAAUACUGAGAAUUGAAAUCGAUAUUUAGAUUGAACGUUGUGGCAGGAAACUGUUAAUAGUACUCUUAAAAAGGAUGGAAUUAU